ensembl:snRNA U6 U6 spliceosomal RNA
UUGCUUUUGCAGCAUAUAUAGUAAAACUGGAACAAUACAGAGAAGAUUAGCAUGGUCCCUGUGCAAGGAUAACCCACAAAUUCAGGAAGUAUUCCAUAUCUGG